GACGGAGGGUGCUAGCGUUGUUCGGAAUCACUGGGCGUAAAGGGCGCGUAGGCGGUCUGCUAAGCGUGCGGUGAAAGCCUGGGGCUCAACCCCAGGUCUGCCGUGCGAACUGGUGGACUUGAGCACUGUAGAGGCAGGUGGAAUUCCGGGUGUAGCGGUGGAAUGCGUAGAGAUCCGGAAGAACACCGGUGGCGAAGGCGGCCUGCUGGGCAGUAGCUGACGCUGAGGCGCGACAGCGUGGGGAGCAAACAGG
rnacentral:rRNA from 1 species